UACCAGCUCUCCGAGUGGUGUGGAUGUUUAUUGGGCCUAAAGCAUCCGUAGCUGGCUGGACAAGUCCCCUGUUAAAUCCACCGAUUUAAUCGUUGGUGUGCGGGGGAUACUGUUCGGCUAGGGGACGGGAGAGGCAGACGGUAUUUUCGGGGUAGGGGUGAAAUCCUAUAAUCCCGGGAAGACCACCAGUGGCGAAGGCUGUCUGCUAGAACGCGCCCGACGGUGAGGGAUGAAAGCUGGGGGAGCGAACCGGAUUAGAUACCUGGGUAGUCCCAGCUGUAAACGAUGCAGGCUAGGUGUUUGGACGGCCACGUGCCGUUCUAGUGCCGCAGGGAAGCCGUUAAGCCUGCCGCCUGGGGAGUACGGCCGCAAGGCUGAAGCUUAAAGGAAUUGGGCGGGGGAGCACCACAAGGGGUGAAGCUUGCGGUUU
rnacentral:rRNA from 1 species